rnacentral:rRNA from 1 species
AACGAACGCUGGCGGCAGGCCUAACACAUGCAAGUCGAGCGCGCCCUUCGGGGUGAGCGGCGGACGGGUGAGUAACGCGUGGGAACGUGCCCUUCUCUGCGGAAUAGCCUCGGGAAACUGUGAGUAAUACCGCAUACGCCCUUUGGGGGAAAGAUUUAUCGGAGAAGGAUCGGCCCGCGUUGGAUUAGGUAGUUGGUGGGGUAAUGGCCCACCAAGCCGACGAUCCAUAGCUGGUUUGAGAGGAUGAUCAGCCACACUGGGACUGAGACACGGCCCA